GUCUACGGCCAUGCUACCCUGAGCAAGCCUGAUCCCGUCUGACCUCGGAAGCUAAGCAGGCUCAGGCCUUGUUAGUACUUGGAUGAGAGACCACCUAGGAAAACCAGGUGCUGUCGGCA
rnacentral:rRNA from 1 species